rnacentral:ncRNA from 15 species
UCCUAGCGUCGCGACUGGCGUCAGGUGGACCACCAUCAGGAAGCGGCGGCAGGGCCAACCGACCCGUGGGUGGAUUGGCGCUGCACAGUGCAGACCACGGAUCGCACGCCUGGGCCGAGGGU